rnacentral:rRNA from 1 species
GAUGAACGCUGGCGGCGUGCUUAACACAUGCAAGUCGAACGGAGUGGCGAACGGGUGAGUAACGCGUAAUCAACCUGCCCUUCAGAGGGGGACAACAGUUGAAAACGACUGCUAAUCCCGAAUACUGUAGGUGGGGUUUGCGUCUGAUUAGCUCGUUGGAGGGGUAACGGCCCCCCAAGGCGAUGAUCAGUAGCCGGGCUGAGAGGAUGAGCAGGCACACGGGAACUGAGACACGGUCCAGACGCCUACGGGAGGCAGCAGUGGGGAAUAUUGGACAAUGGGCGAAAGCCUGAUCCAGCCAUGCCGCGUGGGUGAAGAAGGUCUUCGGAUUGUAAAGCACUUUAAGUUGGGAGGCGUUACCAACAGAAUAAGCACCGGCUAACUUCGUGCCAGCAGCCGCGGUAAUAC